UUUGGAACUAGGAGUUGGAAUAG
rnacentral:piRNA from 1 species